rnacentral:rRNA from 1 species
AGUGAACGCUGGCGGCGUGCCUAAUACAUGCAAGUCGAACGGAGUGGCGCACGGGUGAGUAAUAUAUAUCUAAUUUGUCCCUUGCUGGAGGACAACAGUUAGAAAUGACUUCUCAUACUCCAUAGCAAGGGAUGAGACUCUAACGGAUCAGCUAGUCGGUGGGGUAACGGCCUACCGAGCCUAUGAUGAGUAACUGGGCUGAGAGGAUGAUCAGUAACAUUGGAAGUGAGACACGGGCCAAAAUCCUACGGGAGGGAGCAGUAGGGAAUAUUGCGCAAUGGGGGAAACCCUGAAGCAGCAACGGAGCGUGGAGGAUGACACGUGUCGGAGCGUAAAAUCCUUUUGUUAGGGAAGCGGUACCUAAAGAAUAAGCACCGGCUAACUCCGUGCCAGCAGCCGCGGUAAUAC